rnacentral:rRNA from 1 species
GAUGAACGCUGGCGGCGUACCUAAUACAUGCAAGUCGAGCGAACAGACGAGGAGCUUGCUCCUCUGACGUUAGCGGCGGACGGGUGAGUAACACGUGGAUAACCUACCUAUAAGACUGGGAUAACUUCGGGAAACCGGAGCUAAUACCGGAUAAUAUAUUGAACCGCAUGGUUCAAUAGUGAAAGACGGUUUUGCUGUCACUUAUAGAUGGAUCCGCGCCGCAUUAGCUAGUUGGUAAGGUAACGGCUUACCAAGGCGACGAUGCGUAGCCGACCUGAGAGGGUGAUCGGCCACACUGGAACUGAGACACGGUCCAGACUCCUACGGGAGGCAGCAGUAGGGAAUCUUCCGCAAUGGGCGAAAGCCUGACGGAGCAACGCCGCGUGAGUGAUGAAGGUCUUCGGAUCGUAAAACUCUGUUAUUAGGGAAGAACAAAUGUGUAAGUAACUAUGCACGUCUUGACGGUACCUAAUCAGAAAGCCACGGCUAACUACGUG